UACGUAGGGUGCGAGCGUUGCCCGGAUUUAUUGGGCGUAAAGGGCGCGUAGGCGGCUCGGCACGUCCGUUGUGAAAUCGCCCGGCUCAACUGGGCGGGGUCAGCGGAUACGGUCGAGCUUGAGCAAGCUAGGGGGCAAUGGAAUUCCCGGUGUAGUGGUGGAAUGCGUAGAUAUCGGGAGGAACACCAGUGGCGAAGGCGGUUGCCUGGAGCUUUGCUGACGCUGAGGCGCGAAAGCGUAGGGAGCGAUCCGG
rnacentral:rRNA from 1 species